rnacentral:pre_miRNA from 1 species
UGUGUGCGAGUGUGUGUGUGUGUGUGUGUGUGUGUGUAUAACUGGGGCCUCACUCAUGCACAGUUUCACUGGUCCAGAC